rnacentral:rRNA from 1 species
GAUGAACGCUGGCGGCGUGCCUAAUACAUGCAAGUCGAGCGAACAGGCGAGGAGCUUGCUCCUCUGACGUUAGCGGCGGACGGGUGAGUAACACGUGGAUAACCUACCUAUAAGACUGGGAUAACUUCGGGAAACCGGAGCUCAUACCGGAUAAUAUAUUGAACCGCAUGGUUCAAUAGUGAAAGACGGUUUUGCUGUCACUUAUAGAUGGAUCCGCGCCGCAUUAGCUAGUGGGUAAGGUAACAGCUUACCAAGGCAACGCUGCGUAGCCGACGUGAGAGGGUGAUCGGCCACACUGGAACUGAGACACGGUCCAGACUCCUACGGGAGGCAGCAGUAGGGAAUCUGCCGCAAUGGGCGAAAGCCUGACGGAGCAACGCCGCGUGAGAGAUGAAGGUCUUCGGAUCGUAAAACUCUGUUAUUAGGGAAGAACAAAUGUGUAAGUAACUAUGCACGUCUUGACGGUACCUAAUCAGAAAGCCACGGCUAACUACGUG